AGAUGGUUAAACACAGAAUAGAAAGGUUAACUGCCUUGCCCACGGCUGCUCACUAAGUUACCUGCUCUGUUGGGAGUGAGAACCCAGACCUGAAUCAUCAGUCCUGUAAGCAGAAAAAUCUCUCCCUUCAUACACCACAGAAACAGAACACUCCCAUACCAAACACAACCCUCAAGAGAUUAACGUCAUCCUUCAGGGAUUCAGCUGAGAAGCAACACUGCCAAGCUCUGGUGCAGUGUUCUGUAGGAGGUUCUACAGUUUUUGCUUUAAAAAAGAUUAUUUUUUGAAGCUGUGGGCAGUACACCUUCGUUCAGACCUGCUUCAGAAUUAUAGCACUGCUGGAAACAUAAUUUACAAUUAGAUUUUGAAAAUUCCCAACCUCCAGUUACUCAGUGGUUAAGAAACAAUAUGGAAUAUUUGUAUACAUUGCUCCUCUGUCACUUUCUACACAAAGCCUUAUCUGAAGCUAGUUAAUACAACAACAUUUAGGACUUGCUAUGGGAAGAAAGCAGUGAAAGCACUCAUAGAGCAACAUACUCUUGUUCUACCAUGUGAAGAUACAGAAGUUCUGAUUUCAUGCUGCUGUUCCACACCUCCAAUGUCAGCAUAUAGGCUUUAACAUCACCGUGUUGAAAUUGAGGCAAAUACUCAACAAAUAAUUUAUGGUCACCUCCAAAAAUAUUAUUCCAUCAUCUAAUGAUCUCUCAUUCUUCUCCUUAGUGAUAUUUCUCUGGUUAACCUUUUAUAAAACCAGUAGGUGCCAUGUUUAUAUUUGGAGCCUGGGGAAGUGGUGGUAGGGUGGUGACGCACUGAACAGGUUGCCCAAGGAGGCUGUGGAUGCCCCAUCCCUGCAGGCAUUCAAGGCCAGGCUGGAUGUGGCUCUGGGCAGCCUGGGCUGCUGGUUGGCGACCCUACACAUAGCAGGGGGGUUGAAAUGAGAUGAUCGUUGUGGUCCUUUUCAGCCCAGGCCAUUCCAUGAUUCUAUGGAAUAUUUCUCCAUCUUCAAUAAUAGUUUAUAUUGUUAAUAACAGCAUCUCUGUGCAUUCGCCCAGCUGACCAAGAUGACCGUAAGGGAUUUAUUCUGGUCAUUUCCUUCCGUGACCCAAAUUCACAUUUGCAGCCAGAUCUUGAAAGGAUAAAGAGUAAUACUUUAACCCACUGCAGAUUGCAAACCUAAUCUACUCUUAAGAGAGUGACAGUCACUCAAUUUGAGAAAAACUGGUGAGCAAAAAUAGACUAGAACUGUUUGUCAAAUACACUCACAGUCAUUUUAUUUAUUCCCUG
rnacentral:lncRNA from 1 species